rnacentral:rRNA from 1 species
GACAGAGGGGGCAAGCGUUGCUCGGAAUUAUUGGGCGUAAAGCGCACGUAGGCGGCAUUGCAAGUCGGAUGUGAAAUCCCUCGGCUUAACCAAGGAAGUGCAUCCGAAACUGCAGUGCUUGAGUACUUAAGAGGAUCGCGGAAUUCCCGGUGUAGAGGUGAAAUUCGUAGAUAUCGGGAGGAACACCAGUGGCGAAGGCGGCGAUCUGGGAAGAUACUGACGCUGAGGUGCGAAAGCGUGGGGAGCAAACAGG